rnacentral:rRNA from 1 species
GCAAGUCGAACGGUAACAGAUAGAGCUUGCUCUAUGCUGACGAGUGGCGCACGGGUGAGUAAUAUAUAGUUAAUGUGCCCCAAAGACUAGGAUAGCCACUGGAAACGGUGAUUAAUACUGGAUAAGCCUCUAAAUCAUAAGAUUGCGAGGAAAACGUUUUUUCGCUUUGGGAUCAGACUAUAUCCUAUCAGCUAGUUGGUGAGGUAAGAGCUCACCAAGGCAAUGACGGGUAGCGGGUUUGAGAGGAUGAUC